AUAUGCCGUCAUGAUUGUUGUUCUUAUAUUACCGGAUCUCUUGUUUCAGCAUAAACCACUGAACAUGGCUCAGUAUGCUCAGAAGAAGGUGGAGAUAGCAAAACAGUUGAAGCUGGACAAUGAGGAUGGAUUUGUUCCUUUUAGACCCUUUGAGUUCUGAAAGGGAAAGAGAUUUGUCCCAUUUGGCUUGAAAUGAGGCAUUAUUAUCUCAUAUUACAGCAAGACGGAAGUAAUACGAAGAUUGUAUCACAUACAUAACCAGCCCAGUCUGACAUUGUGGAUGAUUCUUGGCUCAUGUUUUAAAUUAGUGGACAUCCCCCGUUGUAAUGUUAUUCACUAGAGUGAUGCUUGGUUUGUUUUUCGCAUUUGUUUCUCAUUUGCCGUAAAACAUAGUAAGAUAGUGGUCGCAUGAUGAGCAGGUCUUUUUUGGACCUGUAUGAGUAACAAUAUACUAGUAUUAUGCAAUGGAUGUAUGCUGGAGUUGGAAGACCAUAAUUUUGAUUGUGGCAAAAAAUAUGCUUAGCAGUGCAAA